AGGAGUUAAUAAAGACAAGGGCUGUUGCACCCUGGGGAAACAAGAGUGGAGCAGACAGCUGGCACAUCAGAAGGGCGCAAGCCCGAAUAUCAUGUCUGCACCUUGUAAAAACCUCACUCUUAUAAUUUAAACCCUUGCCUGAUCCUCAUGUGAUGUCUUUUGAACAGGACGCAGUUCAUGUCAGAAAAAUCUUUUCCAUGAAGACAGAGACCCUUUAAGAAAGUUUAAACUCAUUCAUUCGCACCUGAUAACUAUUUAAGCAAUCACUUUGAAGAAGAUUGGACUUCCAUCACAGAGAGGUCAACUGACAGAUCUCCAUGUCAUUGCUUGUGGUAAACACACAAGGACUAUUAUAAUGUUCAAGAAGGAACUGCAGAUGC